CAGUAGCCGCGGGAAGACAGAGGAUGCAAGCGUUAUCCGGAAUGAUUGGGCGUAAAGCGCACGCAGGCGGUCUGUCAAGUCAGAUGUGAAAUCCCCGGGCUUAACCUGGGAACUGCAUUUGAAACUGGCAGGCUAGAGUCUUGUAGAGGGGGGUAGAAUUCCAGGUGUAGCGGUGAAAUGCGUAGAGAUCUGGAGGAAUACCGGUGGCGAAGGCGGCCCCCUGGACAAAGACUGACGCUCAGGUGCGAAAGCGUGGGGAGCAAACAGGAUUAGAUACCCCUGUAGUCCCUGUCUCUUAUAC
rnacentral:rRNA from 1 species